rnacentral:rRNA from 1 species
UGGGGAAUAUUGGACAAUGGGGGAAACCCUGAUCCAGCAAUGCCACGUGUGUGAAGAAGGCCUGAGGGUUGUAAAGCACUUUUGUCAGUGAGGAAGCUUGUUAGGUUAAGAGCUAGACAAGUUGACGUUAGCUGAAGAAAAAGCACCGGCUAACUCUGUGCCAGCAGCCGCGGUAAUACAGAGGGUGCAAGCGUUAAUCGGAAUUACUGGGCGUAAAGCGCACGUAGGUGGAUAUUUAAGUCAGAUGUGAAAACCCCGGGCUCAACCUGGGAAUGGCAUUUGAUACUGGGUAUCUAGAGUAUGAUAGAGGGUAGAGGAAUUUCUGGUGUAGCGGUGAAAUGCGUAGAUAUCAGAAGGAACAUCAGUGGCGAAGGCGUCUACCUGGAUUAAUACUGACACUGAGGAGCGAAAGCAUGGGUAGCAAACAGG